rnacentral:rRNA from 1 species
UACAGAGGGUGCAAGCGUUGUUCGGAAUUAUUGGGCGUAAAGCGCGUGUAGGCGGCUUAGCAAGUCGGGCGUGAAAGCCCUCGGCUCAACCGAGGAAGUGCACCCGAAACUGCUGAGCUUGAGUGCCGGAGAGGAUGGCGGAAUACCCCAAGUAGAGGUGAAAUUCGUAGAUAUGGGGUGGAACACCGGUGGCGAAGGCGGCAUCCUGGGCCGGUAUUGACGCUGAGGAGCGAAAGCCAGGG